UUUUUGACAUCAAGCCAUGGCGAGAGCUCACUUACAGCCAAGACAAGUACCCUCCAAUUCAUCAAAACAAUAAAAUGUCCACAAAUGCAGGUGCUACGCCUUUUUAUUUUGGGGGGGGGGGGGGGGGGUUACUAUAAUUUUUGAGUUUCUUUUCAGAUGAAGGGCGUUCAAUUCAGUGUACACAUUGUGACAAUAUAAUUUUUACUUUCUCAUUAUUUCCUCACCCACAUGCAACCUGUCAAAUCAGGGUGCUCUAAUUCAUGGGACAGAAUUGCAAUUAUGCCUGGCUGAAGUCUCACAUCAAGGAGAGGGGAGGAGGGUGGGGUGGGUGGGUGUGUGGAGGGGGUGAAGGAAAUGUUGCAUUUCUCCUACAAACAUGCUGCACGCUCAGCUCCGUGUUUUCCAAAUGUGUCCAUUCAGAAAACAAACGAUCCAGUGCUGCCACCAAUUACGUAACCGAGCCUAUAGACAAGCAAGUCGUUUACGUUGUGGAGGCAUAUUCUGAAUGAAGGCGGGCAGGAGGAAGUGAUCACAACAAAAGUGAAAAAAAAAAAAAAAAAAACAGAGGCAAACGCAGAAUCGUAAAAAAAAAAAAAAAAGGAAGAGAGAAAGAAAGAAAAAAACCUACACACGCUCUGACACACACACACAGGUGCACAUCCACAGAUCGAGUCUGCGCUUUAAGGACGUGGACGCGGCGUUUCUCUCGUGCCUGUCAAACCCGGGACCGGUCUCUUGUUUGGGGCUAUUCACUGACCAAACCAACACCAACCUGUGACAUGACUAAUGCGUUGACGCAAAGCUUUAUACCUGGGAACAACUCCCGGGCUCCAGCCGGGUGUGUGGCUAUUAAUCAGACACGGAACGUGCUGUAUUAUAGAAACCUAUCAGCGGCGCUCGCGUUAGACACAAGGACACGCCGUAUUACUCUCUUUAUCUGACAAAGCCGAGCGCUUUGGGACAACAUCUGUUUGCCACACACACACACGCAUGCACGCACACACACGCAUACACGCACGCUCUCUGCCCCUGUCCAUCUCUCAGUCACACGCGCGCGCGUGCACGCUCGCGAUCGAGCACGGAGAGAGCAAGACUGACAUGUUGCUCGGGAUGAACUCUCUGUGGCCCUUUCAGU
ensembl:lncRNA